UCUAUUCUAUUGAGCGGUCUC
rnacentral:piRNA from 1 species